AAGGAAGAAAGUUCAGACUCUUAGAAACCGGAAGGAUCACAAGACCGAGGUAAAACUCCACUUUAGGCGAUUUGGAGAUAUGGAGCGAGCACAUGUUCAAGCCUUAUUAUACCAAGCGCUUCCGCUAGUUUAUAUGCAUACUUUUUGGGUCCAUGUCUUGUAGUUUUGUUUAAUCUUGUUAGAAGUUUACACUUGAAAACUUGUUGUCUUUGUUUGGGGUAGUUUAAAGUUAAAUGGGUCGUAGAUUGUCGUUAGUUUAAUAUCUUAUAAACAGGGGGCAUGCUCGUUUUACGAACGGGUCAUGCCCAAAUUUUCUAAGAAUUUCGUUAUGUAUUAAAUUUGGUAUUUUGAUGUCUUUAAA